CAUGUACCCUGGCGAAGAUCCCAGAGGCAACAUGAAUUUUGUGCAAUUACAUCCAAGAGCAGCUAGAUCCAAACACGUGGUGCCUUCUCAGCUUUUCUAUUGAGAGGAAGGAACAAAGAGAAGGGUUAAAUUUCAAUUCCCAGAUUUGUAGGAUAAACAAUGCAGGAACCAUCUGAUUGACUGUUCCAUUUCUGGGGUCUUCUGGCAGCGGGCAUAACUUACAGUGUCCUCUGAACUCAUCAAUGGAAAACUGGCAUCUUUGCCAUCUACACUUGUGCAUCUGUUAUUCCAUUUCUUUUGAGAUCACUAAGCACCAACAGGAAUCUGGAAUAAAUAUGUACCUAUGAGAAAAAGCAAGAAAAAUGACUUACCAAGUCCUGACUGUUCCUUGGAAACUUUUGCACAUGUAACUAGAGAGAAUAUUGCAAAAUGAUCAUGGCUUGCUUUAUAGAUUUCAAAAGUGAAGAAAGCUCUUGAGUCACCACCACAAAAAGAAAAACAACCCAGGAGGAAAAGACCACCUACAACUGAUGAGGGGCCAGACACCUGCCUUUAAUUGAGUGCCUAAAGAAAACACUAUAUGGUCACCCUUUAAUUUGUAAUGAGUUCUGACUUGCUUUGACACAAGCUAUGUGAACUGCCAUGUGUGCUGCCAGUUGACGGUAAAAAGGAAAUUCUUAUGCUGGAGCAUGUUAUGUGUCUGUGCAGACCUGAAGCAUGGUCCAAAAUGUGAAAAACAGAAUAAAAUCCUGCUUGGCUGAACAGAAAUCACAGGAGCGUGUGGUAGAGGAUAACGCUGGACAGCCACUGAGGGAGAAGAUAGUGAUUUUAUGUUCUAAUACGGAAAAAUACAUUACUCUCUUACUUGCUUGGAAAUGAACGAAAACAAAAGCAUCUCUUACAGGUAGCUCAAGACAAGAAGUAAGAGGAGGGAGGAUUCCUGAGAGAGAAAAACACAACCCUGGAGUAAGAAGAACUGAGAGGAAACUUACCACUGAUUAACUGACUUCAAGUCAGAUAUGGAUUUAUUUCUUUUGCAGUUUAUUUUGUAAAUUCAAAAACCCUGAAAGAGUGUAAACUUUGAUUUGAUAUAAGGAUAUUUAAACCAGACAGUGAUGUUACUUUAUCAUAAUUCACACUUAUGACCUUGUGUUAAAUUGCUUUGGUCUUACUUAGGAAACAAUUAAUGUCAUUGUACAUUUUGCCUUACAUAAUAAGAGUUUUGUCUAAGUACCAUAAUGACAUUUCUGGUCUGAAGUUGCUUUUCUUUUAAGCCAGAAUCCAUCAGAUCAUACUAGCAUAAGGUCAGGUUGAGGAACAACAGUAGCUUUACUUCUGUAUAAUUUUACAUCUAUAAUAGCCCCCAGAUUGACUCACUACCAUGUUGGUGUUACCGAAUUAACAAAUAAAGUCUUAAACUUUUAAUUAAAUCUGUUUUGGAAGACCCAUGGGUUUGUACAAAGUUGCAGUGGAGCUGGAGAAGUUAUUCUUGUCUUUUUAGGUGUAAAUUAAAGUGUAGCUCUUUUAAAGCUAAUGUGUGAGUUUAUUUCCAUACGAAGCAAUAUGAGUUCCAGUUUUUAGAAUGCUUUGUAUUUGCAAGUGCUCUCAUAAAGGUAAUUAGUGUGCAAGAGAUCUUCAGUGUGCUUGAUAUGAGAAACACAAACAGGUCUUUCAUCGUGCUCAUUAUACAAGAAUAAUCUUUAUAUCAAAUACCGACUGAUAAUGUUAAUUGUCAAGAUAAUGACAAGUGCCUCCCAUCAAACUUCAGUAAAUCGUGCAAAGCAAUUUACUUAAAAGGGCUAUUCCAAAUCCUUUCAUUAUAUUUUGCAAAGCAACAUCAUUGCAAGUUGGAUUUUGUCAUAAGCGUACAGCACAGGAGGCCUUGAAAAGGAGGAAAUUUGGGCUUUGCAUUCUGCUAGGUGAACAUUGCUUAACCUUUCAGAACUUCCCAGCCAUGGGCAGAAAUAUCAUUUUACAGUGUGUAUUGUAUGAGAACAAUCACAAAGUCUUUUAGAUGGAGCUCUAUGUAGCAGUGAUGCCAGACACUAUUUCCUUCUCAUCUUACGGCAUUUAAAGGUGAUGUAAAACAGGAUGUAAAUGAUCUUGAAUUUUCUGAAGAUACUAUAGGGCGAUUUUAUUUAAAGAGAAAGCAUUAUUUUAAAAACAAAGGAUAAACUCUUGAGGGUUACAAGAUUGAUUUAAUUGAAAGACUGCAGGAAAAGAAAAUUUGGUUAUCUUUCA
ensembl:lncRNA